rnacentral:lncRNA from 10 species
AUCUACAAAAAAUAAGAAUAGCCUAGGAAAAACUGCCUCACCAAAUGGAGAAAACAAGGUGUCAGCAACUGAACCUAAAGACAUGCAAAUGAAUGAUGUGGCAGACAAAAAAAUUCAAAUAGCUGUUUUUUUUUUAAAAAAAUCUGUGCACUUCAACAAAGUACAGAGAAACAAUAUGGAAAUUUAUGAGAAAUUCAACAAAGAAUUUAAAAUAAUGGGAAAAAAUUAUACCAAAUCAUACCAAAGAAAUGUUAAAGAACAGUCUUCAAACUGAAAGAAGAGGGCACUAAUUUGUAAUACAAAAAAUUGGAAGGUAUAAAUUUGCAGGUAAAAAUAAAUAUUCAGACAAAUUCAGGAUGCUCUAAUAUAGUAAUAAUUGAAUGUAAACCACUUACAUGUUUUUAGUAAGAAGGUUAAAAUACAAAACAAAAAUAAUAACAACUACAAUAAUUUGUUAAGAGAUAAGUGAUAUAAAAGAUGUAAAUUAAGACAUCAAAAAUGCAAAAUGUGGGGGAGUGAUUGAGUUAAAGAGCAGAGUGAUUGCUUUUCCCCAUUUCUUAUUAUCAAAAUUAAGUUGUUAUCCAUUCAAAAUUACCUAUUGAAACUAUAAAAUAUUCUUCGCAUGCCUCAUAGUAACCAAAAGGCAAACAUUUUUAUUAGAUACACUAAAAAUAAAAGAACAAGAAACAAAAACACACAGAGAAAAUCACUUAACUACAAAGGAAGACAACAAAGGGACAAAAAGGUACAAAAAUUCUAAAAGACAAGAAGAAAACAGUAUAUGGCAGUACAAGUCCUUAUCUAUCAAUAAUUACCUUGAAUGUACAUAGAUUAAAUUAUCCAGUAAGAAGACAGAGAAUGGGUAAAUGGAUUAAAAACAAGACCUAACUAUAUUCUUUCUACAAGAGACUCCCAUCACCUGUAAAUACACACAUAAAUUGAAAGUGAUCAGAUGGAAAAAUAUAUUUUAUGACAAUGGAAAUCAAAAGAAUGCAGAAGUAGUUAUAUUUAUAUCAAAUAAAAUAGACUUCAAGUAAAAAAAACUGUAAACACAGACAAACAAGGCCAUUAUGUAAUAAUAAAGGGGUAAGUACAACAAGAGAAUACAAUAAUUGUAAAUAUAUAAUGCCCUCAACAUUGGAGAACCUAAAUAUAUAAAGCAAACAUUAAUAGAUCUAAAAGGAGAGACCAAAAACUGUACAAUAAUAGUGAGAAACCUCGACAUCCCAUUUUCAGCAAUGAACAGAUCAUUGAGAGAGAAUGUCAACAAAGAAACAUUUAAACUGCACUCUAGAUCAAAAGAAUUUAACAGUUAUUUACAUAACAUUUCAUCCAACAAUUGCAUAAUUCACUGUCUUUUCACCUGCAUAUGGAAUAUUGUCCAUGAUAGAUAUGUUAGAGCACAAAACAAGUCUUAGCUAAUCAAAAAAUCAAAUCAUAUCACUUGUUUUUUUUGACCAUAUGGAAUAAAGCUAGACAUAAACAACAGAAGGAACUUCAGAAAUUGUUCAAAUACAUACAAAUUAAACAACAUAUCCCUAAACAACCAAAGGGUCAAUGAAAAAAAUUUAAUUUUAAAACAUCUUAAGACAAAUAAAAAUGAAAUCAGAACAUAUGAAAACUUAUGAAAUACAGCAAAACAGUUCUUAGAGGGAAGUUUAUAGCAAUACAUUUUGACAUCAAUAAAGAAGAAAGAUAAUGAAUAAAGCAUCUAACAAUGUAUUUCAAGGAACUAUAAAAUCAAGAACAAACUAAGACCCAAAUUAGCAAAAGAAUAUAAAGAUCAGAGCACAAAUAUACAAAAUGAAGACAAAAAAAUACAAAUGAGUCAUUAAAUGAAGGAAUCUUCUUUGAAAAGGUAAAAUUGACAAAUGUUUUGUCAGACUAAGAAAAAAAGAGAAAAUUCACAUAAAAUCAGAGAUGAAAAAGGAUAUACUAUGAUAGACUCUAGAGAAAUAUAAGGAAUCGUAAGUACUACAAACAAUUAUAUGUCAAUAAAUUGAAAAACUUAGAAGAAAUACGUAUGCUCUGGACACAUAUAACCCAUCAAAAUUGAAGAAAGAAGAAGUAGAAAAUGUGAACACACCAAUGAAAAUUAUUAGAUUGAAGGAGUGAUUUAGGCUCUCAGUCAAGAAAAAUCCAAAAGACUUUACACAGUAGCUCACAUCUGUAAUCUCACAGUUUAGGAGCCCAAGGCAGGAGAAUCACUAGAGGCCAGGAGUUCAAGAUUAGCCUGGGCAACACAAUGAGACUGCAUCUCUAAAAAUAAAAAUAAAAAUUCCCCAGGUAUAGUGGUAUGUACUUUUACUCAGGAGGCUGAGGCAGGAGGAUCACUUAAGACCAGGAGUUUGAGGCUGCAGUCAGCUAUGACUGCACCACUGUAUGCCAGCCUCAGUGAUAGAGUGAGACCCUGUCUCUAAAAAAAUAGAGGAAGAAAGAAAAAUUCAUGACUUGGUGGUUUUUGCUGACAAAUUCUACAAAACAUUUUAAAAACUUAUACAAAUUAUUUACAAACUAUUUCAAAAAAAUGAAAAGGAGGGAACUCUUUGUAAACUCCAGGCCAAUAUCAUUGAUAAACAUAGAUGCAAACAUUCAAAACCAGCAGUUCUAGCAAUGAUAAUUCAAAAGCACAUUAAAAAGAUUAUUCACCAUAAUCAAGUGGUAUUUACCCGGGGAGGUAAGGAUAGUCUAAUACAUGUAAAUCAAUAAAAUGUGAUACAUCACAUUAAACAAAGAAGGAUAAAAAGCAUAUAAUAAUUUCAAUAGAUGCAGAAAAAAGCAUUUGACAAAAUUAGACAUCCUUUUAUGAUCAAACCUUUUAACAAAUUAGUUAUAAAAGAACAUAAUAAAAUAAAGACCAUAUGUGAUAACCCACAGGCAACAUUAUACUGAAUGGUGAAAACUUGAAAGCUUUGCCUCUAGGAUCUGGAACAAGACAAGGAUGUUCACUUUAAUCACUUUUUUCAACAUAGUACUGGAAGUCCUAGUCAUAACAAUUAUGUAAGAGAAAGAAAUAAAAGGCAUCCAAAUUGGAAAAAAAAGUCAAAUUGUCCCUCUUUGCAGAUGACAUGAUCACAUAUGUAAAAAACCCUAAGUACACCACUGAGAAUCAGAAAUAGUAAGUGAAUAUAAUAAGGUUUCAGGAUACAAAAGCUACAUAAAAAAUCAGUAACAUCUCUACAACAAUAGCAGACUAUCUGAAAAAGGAAUCAAGAAAAUAAUCCCAUUUAAAAUAGCUAUAAAAAACCAAAAUACCUAUAAGUAAAUUAAGCCACAGAAAGAUGAAAAUUAUUAAACAUUGAUAAAAACAAUUUAAAGAAUUAAAAUAAAUAGAAAGAUAUCCCAUGUUCAUGGACUAGAAGAAUUAAUAUUGUUGAAAUGACCAUACUACUCAAAUCAAUCUAUAAAUCCAAUAUAAUCUCUAUCAAAUUUCCAACUUCAUUCUUCACAGAUAUUAAAAAAUAUCUUAAAAUCCAUGUGAAACUACAAAACACCCCAAAUAGCCAAAUAAAUCUUAAGCAAAAAGAGCAAUGCUAGAGGUAUUACACUAUCUAAUUUCAAAAUAUAUUACAAAGCUAUCCUAACUAAAACAGCAUGGUAUUGGCAUAAAAACAGACAUGUAGACCAGUGGAACAAAAAUAGAGAGCUCAGGCAUAAAUGCACAUAUUUACAUGCAACUUAUUUUAGACAAAGGUGCAAACAUUCAAUUGGGAAAAGACAGUCUUUUCAACAAAUGGUUCAGGGAAAAGUGCAUAUCCACAUACAAAAGAAUGAAAGUAGACCCCUAUCUCUCAUCAUAUAAAAAAAUCAACUCAAAAUAAAUUAAAUAUUUAAAUGUAAGGCCCCCAAACUAUGAAACUAGUAGAAGAAAACAUAGGUGAAAUGUUAUAUGUCAUUGGUCUGGGCAAGGACUUUUUAGAAAAGACAUCAAAAGACAUGCACAACAAAAGCAAAAGUAAACAAAUGGGAUAACACCAAAUAAAAACUUCUGCACUGCAUAGGACACAAUCAUGAGAGUGAAGAGACAACCUACAAAAUGGGAGAAAAUAUCUGCAAACUAUUCACUUCAUAAGGGGUUAAUACCCCAAAUUUAUAGAAAACUCAAACAACUCAAUAGCAAAAAUACAAAUAAUUGGAUUAGAAAACAGUCAAGAUAGCUGAAUAGACAUUUCUCCAAAUAAGACAAAAAAAUCACCAACAGGUAUAUGAAAAAAUGCUCACCAUCACUAAUAAUCAGAGAAAUGCAAGCCAAAUCCACAGUGAGAUAUCAUCUCACCCUGCUUAGAAUGCUUUUUAUGAAAAAGUCAAAAAAUAACAAAUGCUGGCAAGGAUGUGAAGAAAGGGGAAUGUUCAUACACUGUUGGUGGAAAUGUAAAUUAGAGCAAUUGUUAUGGAAUACAAUAUAACUUCCAAAAACAUUAAAAAUAGACUUAUCACAUAAUCCAGCAAUCCCACUACUGGGUAUAUAUUCAAAGAAUAUUAAAUCAGUAUGUCAAAGAGAUUUCUGGACUCUCAUGUUUAUUACAGCACUAUUCACAAUAGCCUAGAAUCAACCUAAGUGUCCAUCAAUGAAUGAAUGGAGAAAGAAAAUGUGGCAUAUAUGCUGUAUUUGGUCAUUCUUGCAUUGCAAAAAUAAAGAAAUACCUGAGAUUGGAUAAUUUAUAAGAAGAGAGACAUAAUUGGCUCCUGGCUCCAUGGGCUGUACAGGGAGCAUAAUGCCAACAUCUGCUUGACUAGUCAGGAAGCUUGGGAACUCGUUCACUAUCAUGAGGAUAGCACCAAGCCAUGAGGGAUCCACCUCCAUGACCCAAACACCCCCUACCAGGCCCCAUCUCUAACAGUGGGGAUUACAAUAUAACAUGAGAUAUGGGUCAGGACAAAUAUCCAAACUAUAUCAUAUGCACAUUUGGCCAUAAUAAAGGGUAAAAUCGUGUCACUUGUGACAACAUGAAUGAGCAUAGACGACAUUGUGGUAAGUGAAAUAAGCUAACCACGGUAAGACAAAUAUCACAUGAUCUCAUUUAUAUGUGAAAUCUAAAAACACUGAUCUAAUAAAGAGUAGAAGAGUGGUUACCAGAAACACUGAUCUAAUAAAGAGUAGAAGAGUGGUUGCCAGACUGGGAAAGAUAGGGAGGAGAGGUUUUAACAAUGCAUCAUGUAUCAAAAUACCACAUUGUACCCCAUCAACAUGUGAAAUUAUCAUGUAUCCACUUAAUAAAAGCAAAGAAAAAAGAAAAUGGAAGAGUCAAGAUACUGAGGCACUGGAAGAGAUAGAAGAGAAGGUGAAUUGGCAGUAAGGAAGAGAGAGUCUGAAAGAGCAGGUCACAGAGUGGGACAUUAAAGUUUAUAACAUUAGAAAUCAAUUUUUAAGUGAUUGAAAAGUUAAGUUUAUAGCCAUGAAAGUGAGUAGCUCAAUUGAAGUGAAAGUAAAAGUCAAUGAAAGAUUAAAUUAGAAAAUAUAUUGCUUGGCAUUUAGUAGUUACUUCAGAAAUAUUAAUAAAUCUUAAGAAAAUUAAGAACACCAAAGCAUUCAUAGUGGGCCAUUAUCAUAAUAUGAAUUUAUGUGGUAAUAUUUUAUUCUUUCCAGUGAAGGGAGUAAUUCAGUCUUGAUUACAGGUUAGAAAAUGAUUUUUCCAGGUGUGACCCACUGACCACAUUCAUUGUAUUUGAAUUGCUUGAGCAAUUUGUUUCAGGAGAAAAUGGAAAGAUUUUAAGAUGGACCAACGAAAUUACCACUGAGUGUCUUUAAUGGAAAUCUCAGCCUUGUCUAGAAUAACCUGAGUUAUCUGUUUCUAUGGGGUCUCUGUGCCUUUUGUUUUCUUUGUUAUUUGCAAUUCUGUUAGUUGUAGAUUACUGAUAGUAAUGCAAAUAUUCAUGUUUAUAGACAGGCAAAUGAUUGAUUUUGGUGGAAGUAUAAUUAAUUUUCCUUUUCCCACCUUCCAUCAAGAAUU